rnacentral:rRNA from 1 species
GAUGAACGCUGGCGGCGUGCCUAAUACAUGCGAGUCGAGCGAACAGAUAAGGAGCUUGCUCCUUUGACGUUAGCGGCGGACGGGUGAGUAACACGUGGGUAACCUACCUAUAAGACUGGGAUAACUUCGGGAAACCGGAGCUAAUACCGGAUAAUAUUUCGAACCGCAUGGUUCGAUAGUGAAAGAUGGUUUUGCUAUCACUUAUAGAUGGACCCGCGCCGUAUUAGCUAGUUGGUAAGGUAACGGCUUACCAAGGCGACGAUACGUAGCCGACCUGAGAGGGUGGUCGGCCACCCUGGAACUGAGACACCGUCCAGACUCCUAAGGGAGGCAGCAGUAGGGAAUCUUCCGCAAUGGGGGGAAGCCUGACGGAGCAACGCCGCGUGAGUGAUGAAGGUCUUCCGAUCGUAAAACCCUGUUAUUAGGGAAGAACAUACGUGGAAGUAACUGUGCACGGCUUGACGGUACCUAAUCAGAAAGCCACGGCUAACUACGUG